AAUUCCCUACCAUGUACGUGAUGCAAAGGUAACUAUUGAGCCAACAACUCUACGUGGGAGGCCUAAAUCUGACUUGCGAUGUCACGCCCUUUUAGUAGGGAAGACUGAACGGGUCAUGAGGGUUUCCACUUGAACCUUCGGGUUCAAAAGUUCCCUUACACACGGCAUAGCGUGGGGAAUUU
rnacentral:other from 1 species